rnacentral:lncRNA from 1 species
AGGGUUUCUGCUCUGCCCAAAGGCACAAGCUUCGCCAACAGAUUAUUAAAGCUUGGGUUUGGAGGUAGUUUGAUGAGCAGGUUGCUCAACCUCAAAAGCCCUUUGGGCUGGAAGACUUGGAGAAGUGCAGAGUUCACCAGAAAGACAGCAGUGGGUGGGUAUCUGGGACAGCGAGUCAAAAGUGAAAAUGGCUAUCAGACCAAAGGGAGAGGAAAGGGGCCUGCUAGAGGCCUUUUUCUGAGAGGAGCAUCAACCACCCAAGAGGGCGUUAGAGAAAGGAGAGAAGAUGGAACACAGUGGGUACCUUCCCACAGCGCACAAAGAAACCUCAACUUCUUCCCCUUUGAGACAAGUGUGGUCCUGAGGUUUGCCAUUUAUAGUUCAGAAACCAUCAGCCUCUGCACAAGGACCGGUUCGGUUCCAAAUUCCUCACCGUUGAUGCUCUCUCAAAUCUGAGUGAUCAUGAAGGAGGCCAUGCAUUAAACAGCUCCCGUAAAAAGCUGUGAUCAUCACCGGAAAGGUGAUUUCACCGUGCAGUGAGACAGGAACCUGGAUGUCCUAGCAGUACAGUGAGGAAAUUAAUCAUUUUAUGUUUUUGGCUCAUUCAUAUCACAUUAAGCUAACUGGAAAUUCUAUAAGUCAUUUAGGAGUCAAAAUUCCAGAUUAAAUGGGAAUUCUGUCUCUUGCCCAGACUAUCAACCCAUCCAUUCCCAAAAUAAAUGUAAACAAUUCCCAGUUGUAAAACCAUGACACUAAAUUAUGGAAAUCACCGUCAUUACUAACUCAUGUGAAUGCUUCACAUUUUAAAGCAACUGUAAUUGUUUUAAAUAAUAGAAUUACAAUUGCCUUUAUUAAAACCAUGCCUCAGCAUUUUGAAAUUGAAAAAGCUGUCAAGCUGUUAAGACUUCCCUGUUUCUGGGGAGAUUGGGCUGUGUCAGGAGGGCAUGGGAGGAGAGGGGCCCUCCCUCUGGAUGUAAAGUGAGCAAUAAAUUAAUGGAAAAAAGA